GCACAAUCUGGGCUCUGUUUACAAGGCUGCAGGCCUGGCUGAAAUACUCGGGCGUCAAUGAAGGUCACCUGUCAACAUUGAGUAGUGCCUUAAGAUUACUUCGUGCUGCUAUAAACGACUGUUAAAUGAAAUGAUGAAUAUUAGGUUUUUGAAAACGGAAAAAAUGAUAGUCAUGCCGGCCCAGCAUCAUCAAUGUUGAAAAAUGCCGCAGCACGAAGUGGUUAAUCAUGGACCUAAUGGUUAUACAACAGAAUACAGGUAGGUUCAUACGUAAUGGGAAAGUGAAUGCAAAAGCAACAUUUUGAGAUUCAAGCUGAGGAUCUGCAGAAGUUGAGUCCCUUUCAACUGCUGUCAAUUAGAACUCUGAUGUUUAUUAUAAGUGUGUCUGUGUGUAAAAUUCCUCUUUGUGUCUGCUUCCCUGCAAAGUAUCCAGCUGAAGACCCAACAACAGUGUCGAGGAGCUGUGACAACUGUGCAGGCGAUUCACUGCUUGUCUUUUGCAAUGGGUAUCAGUUUCACUUAAGCUUGUGGAUGCGCCGCAGCUGGAUGUAACCCAAGAUCAGAAGGAUGAUGAUCAUUGAUCCCAGGGCAACCUCAUUCUUCCAGAGACCCCAGUCUGUGUCAUCAAUGCCUUGCUGCCCAAGCACCAAAACCAAGGUUGAGCAACUGAGAGCCUGUUUGACGUUGUCAAUCUUGAGAGAUUGGCACAGGAACCAAGAUUGUCAGAGACCUGGUUCCUCCAUGAGAGACAAGUAAAGGGGAGUUGGACAGGCUAAAUCUGUCAGCAAACUCACAUGUGAGUUACUACCCCUCUGCACCUCCCUGGCACCUUGGUGACGGAGCUUAAAACAGAAAUACUAGAAUUGAAGAGAAAGGUGGACCAGCAAAACAAUUUGCUGAUUUCUCUGCAGCUACAUGUAGAUGCGGGACAACAUGGAGAAGACUAUUAUCUACCAAAGGGCCUUAUCUUUCCCCUGACGUCUCUUCAAGACAUCGAUUUCUUGGAGAGGCUUCUUCAGGAAGACUCGCGUUUGGAGAAGCACCUGAUUGCAUCCUGGUCCAGUACAGGAGGCUUCUCCACUUAUGAGGCCUUAAACCGCAUCAUUGGAAGGGCUUUCCACAACGACGUGCUCAAAAUGUUAAACUGGACAGGGCAAGGGGGAAAGAAGUCAUUCAAAAGCUUAAAGUGAAGAGCAUUCUGGAAAAUAAGUUUGUGGAUGUAUUUGGAGAUAGUUGAACUGAAUUAAGCCCACUGAAAAUAUCAACUAAUUGUCAUUUGGUCCGAUGUCUGGUUAUUUUUAAGGUUUCCCUCGUGCAAAUUCACAGUUUGCCUAGCUAGUAAUGUUGACAACAACCCCCAAUUUUUUAUUUAAGUUGAAACUUCAUUUGUAUUAAUUUCUUUUUCUCAAAUCGAGCGAGAGAGGGUCACAUUUUCUGAAGGGGAUUCCUUUCCCUCCCAUUUGCUGUAGGUAUUUGUAGGUAUUUGGGUCCCAUAAAUGUUGAGCUUUUUUGAAAACCAUGCUUGGAUUCAAACUCGAAUUAGAGCUUAUCAAUUAACACACUUAAGAGGGCAAGGGUUUUGUAUCAUUGUUGUUUAGCUUGAGUAAAUCUACUGGACUUAAAUUAAUUUACAUUGUUUCAUACAGAAUCGAUCCGGAGGAACAAACCAACAAGCAAGGCUAUAGACCUGGAGAUCCAAAAGGAGGUCGUCCAUUACUGGAAGGGGCAGCAGAUCAAUGCGGUGGACGGAAGAAUAGACAGAACCGUGCCCCUGUCACAGCUGCUGCUGCCCCUACUCAGGCUGAGCAGGACUAAAAAUGUUCCUCUUCUUAAUGGUUUCCUAAAAGACGAAUAAAUAUGAUGCCUGUCGGCUGAAUUUACUAAACCAGUUAAUGCAGUAUCCUGACAACUAAGUAUGCACAACACAUGCAAAAAGAAAUGCUGCUUUUUCAUUUGCCAGAAAAAACAAGCAGCUACAUGUAUUGCCUUCCCAAUAUUUUUUUUCUUGCAUUUUGUAAACUAAAGUUUUGGUUUAAAGUGUUUUAAACCAAAACAUCUUCUUGCCAGCAUGUAUUUUGUUUACAUAGAAGAGACUUUAAGGCAGUUUUACCUCUCAUAUUAUGUAUACAGGUAUAGCCAAGAAACUUGACCAGCUAAUCCACAUGACAUUUUGGUCCACACAAAAUAAUUAGGGAAGCCAUCAUCUGGCAUUCCAAAGUUAAGCGUAAAUUACAGUACUGUACCUCAUUCAGUAUAAAUUUAAAUUAAGGUUGCCACUCCUGGGGCCAAUUACAGUGCUUUAUGAGUAGACCUGUCUUGGUUAAAAGUAUGGGGAAAAAACGCAAAAGGGAAUUUGUACUUAAUUAGGUUUUUUUUGUUUACGACGUAUAAAAAUCCUACGGUAUAUGAAACUCAGAAUGUAUGCCUUCUCAAUGUAUACAUUUUUAUCAUACUGUUCAUCAUAAUACAGUACCUGCACAUGCAUUCCUUAAAUAUCUCAAAGCAAUAUCACGAAAGUCUACCCCCAGGAGGUCGGGGGUAACGCGACUUGAUAGUUCUUCCCUUGAAGCUCCUCUGGGGUGGUUUGGUAGGCCGAGAGGAGGAUGGACAGCCACAAUUUGUCUGGUAACUGGGUUGACAAAUGGGGUAAAAGGAACCAUAACUGCCCUGACAUGGAGGUCUGAAGGGUCGGGCCCUGUGGUCAUCAGGAUGAGAUUGGUGAGGUGGAGCUGCUGGCUGAGGUUCACGGAAACUAAGUUUGUGUUGUGUCAAUGCGCAUAACUUCUGACUCCAUCAUCUCCAUGAACUUUCCCACAAAAAGGUCUUUGCCAUAAAGGGGAAGUACUUGAAGUUUUUACUUGACUCCCUCAUGGGGAACGUUCAUGGCAUCUAAGGUGUUGGAUCUGCCUGCAGAAGUGGCUCAAAUGGACAUCCAAACGAACUGCUCGAAGACAGAGUUGACGUUAUCAUCAAGUACUCGAAGUGCGACAGCUGCCAAGUCGGGAGUAACUGGUGAAUCUUCGUCACACGCUCGGGCCAAAUACUCAGAGAGGAGUGCCAUAAACAUGGUGCAGCGAAGACCAUGUCAUGAGGCUUUGUCAAAUUUAGGAAGAGUAGACUCAACAAAACACUUGUCCUUGUCUUAAAAUGGAGACUUUCCUGUAGGCUUGUGAGCGUUGGAGGAAAGUUUAUCUUUAGCCUCAGUUGGAAUCUCAGGGACAGAGAGGAAGUUGUCAAAGUCCUCCCUAGCAAACUGGAAAUAAGUCGAAGCUCUGGACGCCAUUGUUUGGCACCAACGAGAACUUUUAAACAUCUCGACGCAUGAGCGGUCAACUGGAAGUUCUGUGAAAAUUGGGGUUGAUGCCUCCACCCACUUGAGCAAUACAUUAACUGCCCUACCAUGUAUUUUCUUCCGAAAAUGCAUAAAACAACCCCACCGGGUGAACCCUUUGUCGGCAGACCUAUCAUCAGUGGUUGCACAAGUCCAACAGCCAAGAUCUCUGAGUAUGUGGACUAUUUCCUCCUUCCUAUAGUAUCCGCCCAAUCCACAUAUGUCUGUGACACAACGGACAUAUUACGGAAACUAGAAAAGGAAAAAUUUCCCCAAAACUCACUCCUGGCAAGCAUCACUGUUGUCUCUAUGUACACCAACAUUCACCAGGCGCAAGCUAUUGAAUCGGUAUGCAAAACCUACAACACAACCAACUUCAGCUACGCCAUGAUCCCCAUCCAACUACAUCCACACUCUCUUAGAACUUGUUCUAGGUUGCAACUACUUUCAGUUUGGAUGUAAAUUCUUCAGACAGAAAAUCGGAUGUGCAAUGGGAUCAGUAGCCAGCCCAGAAAUUUGCGACAUAGUUUUACAUGAAUUUGAGUCGGAAAUCUUAGCCCCCAUGGACAAAAUCCUAUUCUGGGCUUGAUUCAGAGACAACAUUCUCAUCAUCUACAAUGGAUAACUUGAUUCCUUCACCCAAUUCGUUCACCACCUGAAUCAACUGCACCCUACCCUCAAAUUCACUUUUGAGGCAUCCCAAACUUCCAUUACCUAUUUAGACAUUACAAUUUUCUAAGGUCCACAUUUCCUCUCUAACGGUACCCUGGAUACGAAAGUAUUCAGGAAACCAACGGAAACGUUCAAAUACCUGGACAGAACUUCAUCCCAUCCACAACACGUAUUCCACGGCUUCGUCAAAGGAGAAAUCCUGAGAUAAGCCAGAAAAACAAAUAAUGGGAAAGAUUUUCUACAAAAAAACAAAGUUUUGCAGAAAAACUUUUGCAACGAGGCUACAAUCAAGCCGAGAUUCAAAGGUCGAUGCAGUCCAUUAAUUUCCGGCAACAGGAAUCCAUGAUUCACAACAACUGAAAAGUGAAUAACAAAAAAGAACUUCCACUCGUCUUCCCCACUAUGCACAAUCCCCAUGUGAAAUACAAAGAUAUCAAAAGAGCUCUUCUUAAACACUGGCAGCUCAUCUCUGGCAACCCAAUAUUAAAGGAAGUUUUCCCCAAACCUCCUUUUAAUAGUUGCCUACAAUGUAGUCAAAAAUAUCAAGAAGAACACUAUCACAGCCAAACUCAGCCAUGCGGAAGACUAUCACUCCUCCACACCUGAGGAACCUGACUACGCUUUAGAUAUCCUCAUUUUACUUUUGAAUGAACAAACCCAUUCAAACUAAUUGUGCAUGAAUAUCAUGCCCAGAGAAACGCAAUCACUUUUCCGUCAAGUGAGUGCUAUUCCACUCACUAAACCAUACCUGUACACAUUCCAAUUCAUAUUUUGAAUCAAGCAGCUGAUUAGUCCCCGAAGGGAUGAAAAUGCAUUCCCGCUAAUUUCUCAGGUAAAACCUAAAUCAAACCCACCGCUUGGAUAAACAUGGUUUCAGUCUACACAAGUUUAAUUCUUAUUAUUUCUACCCUCCCGAGGCUCCCCUAUAGUCUCCACAUAGAAAUAAAUCACUCAGUGACACACCCUCGAAUAAACAUGAGUUUUUUCAAAAGCACCUAAAGUUUAUUCGUUUGGAUUCAAUCUAUAAGAGCGAGUGUCUCUGAAUGGGAUAGAGCCAUCACUUUUUAUCCAAUACUUUGCACAUCGUCAACAUUCGUGUUUCGCUGUCACAGUAGUGAAAACGUGUGCGAAACUCUAUGCAUUAAACGAAGGUGCUCUAGUUCCCGCUGCACCGCACCCAUGCAAAAGAAUGCGUCAUGCAAAUGUAGCAAGCAGUACCAGUCUGUACAUGUACUGAAUGUAUUGUACAUAAAAACUCUUCAUCGGCCGUACAUGUCACGAAUGCAGAAGGCUGCAGGCCUGAAAGACAUCGAUGUUAUGUUGCAAGAGGUUUUCUCUAAUUUAAUUCACAGA